rfam:Lactobacillus kunkeei strain LAko contig007, whole genome shotgun sequence.
AAUUAAUGUUUGGGGUGCCGGAAUUCGGCUGAGAUUCAUACCCAUAGUACCUGAUUCAGGAUAAUCCCUGCGAAGGAAAACAACCCUUUUAUUUU